rnacentral:rRNA from 1 species
GUAGGUGGCAAGCGUUGUCCGGAAUUAUUGGGCGUAAAGCGCGCGCAGGCGGUUCUUUAAGUCUGAUGUGAAAGCCCACGGCUCAACCGUGGAGGGUCAUUGGAAACUGGAGAACUUGAGUACAGAAGAGGAAAGCGGAAUUCCACGUGUAGCGGUGAAAUGCGUAGAGAUGUGGAGGAACACCAGUGGCGAAGGCGGCUUUCUGGUCUGUAACUGACGCUGAGGCGCGAAAGCGUGGGGAGCAAACAGGGAUUAGAUACCCUGGUAGUCCACGCCGUAAACGAUGAAUGCUAAGUGUUAGGGGGUUUCCGCCCCCUUAGUGCUGCAGCUAACGCAUUAAGCACUCCGCCUGGGGAGUACGGCCGCAAGGCUG